GCACGAGCGCACCCUUAUCCUUUGUUGCCAGCGGUCCGGCCGGGAACUCAAAGGAGACUGCCAGUGAUAAACUGGAGGAAGGUGGGGAUGACGUCAAGUCAUCAUGGCCCUUACGACCAGGGCUACACACGUGCUACAAUGGCGCAUACAAAGAGAAGCGACCUCGCGAGAGCAAGCGGACCUCAUAAAGUGCGUCGUAGUCCGGAUUGGAGUCUGCAACUCGACUCCAUGAAGUCGGAAUCGCUAGUAAUCGUGGAUCAGAAUGCCACGGUGAAUACGUUCCCGGGCCUUGUACACACCGCCCGU
rnacentral:rRNA from 1 species